CUCAUUGUCUACUCUGCUAAUGGGGUAGGAUCCGAUAAGCUCUUCUAUCUAACCCCUAUUCCGUCACGUCCUCGUCGUGCAGUGUGAUGACUUCCGCCCAUCGCAUGUUCAAACUUGGGUACAACGGCUAUUCCCAGCGCCUUGGGCAGACCGAACAAUCGGGUUGU
rnacentral:ribozyme from 1 species